GAUGAACGCUGGCGGCGUGCCUAAUACAUGCAAGUCGAGCGAACAGACGAGGAGCUUGCUCCUCUGACAUUAGCGGCGGACGGGUGAGUAACACGUGGAUAACCUACCUAUAAGACUGGGAUAACUUCGGGAAACCGGAGCUAAUACCGGACAAUAUAUUGAACCGCAUGGUUCAAUAGUGAAAGACGGUUUUGCUGUCACUUAUAGAUGGAUCCGCGCCGCAUUAGCUAGUUGGUAAGGUAACGGCUUACCAAGGCAACGAUGCGUAGCCGACCUGAGAGGGUGAUCGGCCACACUGGAACUGAGACACGGUCCAGACUCCUACGGGAGGCAGCAGUAGGGAAUCUUCCGCAAUGGGCGAAAGCCUGACGGAGCAACGCCGCGUGAGUGAUGAAGGUCUUCGGAUCGUAAAACUCUGUUAUUAGGGAAGAACAAAUGUGUAAGUAACUAUGCACGUCUUGACGGUACCUAAUCAGAAAGCCACGGCUAACUACGUG
rnacentral:rRNA from 1 species